rnacentral:misc_RNA from 1 species
CCAUUACUCCUGGAGGAGCCACUUGGCCUGCAAGUCCAGGAGCAGCCACUGGUGCCCGCAUACCUGGUGGAGGUGGAGGAGGGGGUAGGGGCAAAUGUGAUAUUCCUGGAGGUAAUACAUCAGACUGUAAUGUAGGUAUCACGGUUGGCCCAGGAACAGGAGGUGGUUGCCGUGGAGGUGGUGGUGGGGGAACCAUGUUAAGAUUAUCCUUAGUUGCUGUCAGAUUAUUGCCAUUGACUUCAGAUGAGGCACCUUCAGACUGACUGCUGGCUGCCUUCAGCAGCAUACCAGGAGGAGGUGGUGGUGGAGGGAGUACAGUAGGCACCUGAACUGUUUCUUUGGAGGAUGGUUCAUCUGACAAAGUAGAUGAAUUUCUCUCAUGUUCAAUUUCGUUGGUGCCAGGUGGAGGUGGCUGAGCAGACUG